GCCCAAUUGGUUGGCGUGUGAUGAAGAAAUUAAAAUUAGGUCAAUCAGAAUCCCUCCCGCUCCCUAAUUUGGUUUUAAUAAAUAAACUUUUGAAAUAACUAGGCCCACCCACGACCAUGGCGGAAGCCACUGCAUCGGAACCGGAAAUCGUCGAGCCCACCACCAUGGCCGCCGCAGACACGGCUUUCGACGGCGUUGACUCAAAUCAGGAGCGCACUAGAGUGGACAGCGAUGACGAAGAAGACGGUGUUUCGAAGAAGCGGAAGGUGGAUGAAGAAGAAAAGAAACCUUCAGGUCCCGUGAAAUUGGGUUUCAAAAGCUUCGCCUCUUCCCUGGAAAUGUUCGAUUACUUCUACAAUCUCCUUCAUGCUUGGCCCCCUUUUCAAAAUCUUAACCAGUAUGAGCAUAUGAUGCUACUGGAAUUGCUUAAGAACGGCCAUACGGAACCUGAUACUAAGAUUGGAGGAGGAAUCUGUGUUUUUCAAGUCCGCAAGCAUCCUAUGUGGAAAAGUAGGUGCUUCUUCCUCGUCAGGGAGGGUGAAUCUGUUGAUGAUUUUAGCUUCCGUAAAUGUGUGGAUCAUAUUCUUCCCUUGCCAGAAGAGAUGCAAGUGAAACCUGAUGCUAACAUGGCAUUAGGAGGAGGAAAAAAACAUUAUAGAGGAAAGAGUGGUGGUGGUGGAACAAGUGGGCAUGGCCAUGGGAAAAAAAGGAGGAUCCAAACAUUUUAUGUGUUUUAUGAUCUAAACGUUUUAUGUAUACUAACUUGACCAGCUUAUUUCAUGAUUCUUGGCAGUAGCUUAUUUCAUGAUUCUUGGCAGUAGCUUAUUUCAUGAAUGUAAAUCUCAACGACCCCACCCUCAAACACAGCACAGCAUUAACCCGCAUGACCUGCAACGUUUCCUUAAGUAAUUAUUUUUGAGUUUCGGGAGAAGCAAUUAGCAUUUUCUUUUACUAAUUGCAAGGCAUCUGUGCAAGCUUAAUACACAAGCAUAAGAAGUAUGUUAUGGAAGUUAUUGCAUACAGGCAUGUGAGCAAACCAUCUGAACACCCUAAACUAGAUCCUAUGCAGUGACUUUAUCAUUGCAUGAGAUUCUAAACCUUUAAUAUACCUUGAAAAAGAACCCUUUAAUAUAUUUUUAUCAAUAAAUGAUCAAUGUCUCUUUUUUAUCAA